rnacentral:rRNA from 1 species
GACGAACGCUGGCGGCGUGCUUAACACAUGCAAGUCGAACGGAAAGGCCCUGCUUUUGUGGGGUGCUCGAGUGGCGAACGGGUGAGUAACCUGCCCUUGACUUUGGGAUAACUUCAGGAAACUGGGGCUAAUACCGGAUAGGAGCUCCUGCUGCAUGGUGGGGGUUGGAAAGUUUCGGCGGUUGGGGAUGGACUCGCGGCUUAUCAGCUUGUUGGUGGGGUAGUGGCUUACCAAGGCUUUGACGGGUAGCCGGCCUGAGAGGGUGACCGGCCACAUUGGGACUGAGAUACGGCCCAGACUCCUACGGGAGGCAGCAGUGGGGAAUAUUGCACAAUGGGCGGAAGCCUGAUGCAGCAACGCCGCGUGCGGGAUGACGGCCUUCGGGUUGUAAACCGCUUUCGCCUGUGACGAAGCGUGAGUGACGGUAAUGGGUAAAGAAGCACCGGCUAACUACGUG